UUAAUUGCCAUCAUUAUUGGGCACUUAAAGAGACUGCCGGUGUUAAGCCGGAGGAAGGUGGGGAUGACGUCAAGUCCUCAUGGCCUUUAUGCCCAGGGCUACACACGUGCUACAAUGGGCGGUACAAAGAGAAGCAACCUCGCGAGGGUGAGCAAAUCUCAAAAAGCCGUUCUCAGUUCGGAUUGAAGUCUGCAACUCGACUUCAUGAAGUCGGAAUCGCUAGUAAUCGCGGAUCAGCAUGCCGCGGUGAAUACGUUCCCGGGCCUU
rnacentral:rRNA from 1 species